AUCCUAGUGCAUGGGUUUUACACGUAUCAGUGAGGAGACAUCCGAGAUCGUGUUUUUGCUAGUUGAAAACUACCAAAUUGACUGCUUCAAGCGAGCUUUACCGCACGCUUGGGAAUUUUUGAAACAUUACUGC
rnacentral:snRNA from 1 species